UACAGAGGCCUCGAGCGUUAGGCGGAAUCACUGGGCUUAAAGCGUGUGUAGGCGGACUUCUAAGUACCUUGUGAAAUCCCACGGCUCACCCGUGGAACUGCUCGGUAUACUGGUCGUCUUGAGCCUUCUAGGGGCGAGUGGAACAAUGGUGGAGCGGUGAAAUGCGUAGAUAUCAUUUGGAACGCCAAUGGUGAAAACAACUCGCUGGGGAAGUGCUGACGCUGAGACACGAAAGCCAGGGAGCGAACGGG
rnacentral:rRNA from 1 species